GGGUCCGCACAAGCGGUGGAGCAUGUGGUUUAAUUCGAUAAUACGCGAGGAACCUUACCUAGGCUAGAAUGCGAGUGACAUCCAGAGAGAUCUGGAGUUCUUCGGACACAAAGCAAGGUGCUGCAUGGUUGUCGUCAGCUCGUGCCGUGAGGUGUUGGGUUAAGUCCCGCAACGAGCGCAACCCCUGUUUUUAGUUGCCAGCAAGUAAUGUUGGGGACUCUAGAAAGACUGCCUGCGUAAGCAGAGAGGAAGGAGGGGACGACGUCAAAUCAGCAUGGCCCUUAUGCCUAGGGCUACACACGUGCUACAAUGGCGUAUACAAAGGGUAGCGAACCAGUGAUGGUAAGCCAAUCUCUAAAAGUACGUCUCAGUUCGGAUUGAAGUCUGCAACUCGACUUCAUGAAGCUGGAAUC
rnacentral:rRNA from 1 species